GGCCAGGGUGGUGCUCAACUCAAAGAUGAAGAUGCAUUGUUUUCUAGAGCAAUUUACUACACCUCAGAACAAGGUGGUGCUCAACUCAAAGGUCUCAGAAAGAGAACUGGAUGAAGACAUAAUCAUAUCUGAAAGUGAAGACGAAGGAGUAACCCACAUAUUGUAAUUGAACCAGCUGUGCAUCGUUAGCCG